UGGAUUAGAUACCCUGGUAGUCCACGCCCUAAACGAUGCCAACUAGGUGUUGGGGAAGGAGACUUCCUUAGUACCGUAGCUAACGCGUGAAGUUGGCCGCCUGGGGAGUACGGUCGCAAGAUUAAAACUCAAAGGAAUUGACGGGGACCCGCACAAGCGGUGGAUGAUGUGGAUUAAUUCGAUGCAACGCGAAAAACCUUACCUACCCUUGACAUGCCAGGAACUUUCCAGAGAUGGAUUGGUGCCCGAAAGGGAGCCUGGACACAGGUGCUGCACGGCCGUCGCCAGCU
rnacentral:rRNA from 1 species